AACGAACGCUGGCGGCAGGCUUAACACAUGCAAGUCGAGCGCCCCGCAAGGGGAGCGGCAGACGGGUGAGUAACGCGUGGGGAUCUGCCUAGUGGUACGGAACAACACGGGGAAACUCGUGCUAAUACCGUAUAAGUCCUUCGGGAGAAAGAUUUAUCGCCAUUAGAUGAACCCGCGUCUGAUUAGCUAGUUGGUGAGGUAACGGCUCACCAAGGCGACGAUCAGUAGCUGGUCUGAGAGGAUGAUCAGCCACACUGGGACUGAGACACGGCCCAGACUCCUACGGGAGGCAGCAGUGGGGAAUAUUGGACAAUGGGGGCAACCCUGAUCCAGCCAUGCCGCGUGAGUGAUGAAGGCCUUAGGGUUGUAAAGCUCUUUCGCUAGGGAAGAUAAUGACGGUACCUAGAGAAGAAGCCCCGGCUAACUUCGUGCCAGCCGCCGCCGUAACAC
rnacentral:rRNA from 1 species